rnacentral:rRNA from 1 species
GACGAACGCUGGCGGCGUGCUUAACACAUGCAAGUCGAACGGAAAGGCCCUGCUUUUGUGGGGUGCUCGAAUGGCGAACGGGUGAGUAACACGUGAGUAACCUGCCCUUGACUUUGGGAUAACUUCAGGAAACUGGGGCUAAUACCGGAUAGGAGCUCCUGCUGCAUGGUGGGGGUUGGAAAGUUUCGGCGGUUGGGGAUGGACUCGCGGCUUAUCAGCUUGUUGGUGGGGUAGUGGCUUACCAAGGCUUUGACGGGUAGCCGGCCUGAGAGGGUGACCGGCCACAUUGGGACUGAGAUACGGCCCAGACUCCUACGGGAGGCAGCAGUGGGGAAUAUUGCACAAUGGGCGGAAGCCUGAUGCAGCAACGCCGCGUGCGGGAUGACGGCCUUCGGGUUGUAAACCGCUUUCGCCUGUGACGAAGCGUGAGUGACGGUAAUGGGUAAAGAAGCACCGGCUAACUACGUG